rnacentral:rRNA from 1 species
GACGAACGCUGGCGGCGUGCCUAAUACAUGCAAGUCGAGCGGACAGAAGGGAGCUUGCUCCCGGAAGUCAGCGGCGGACGGGUGAGUAACACGUGGGCGACCUGCCUGUAAGACUGGGAUAAAUUCGGGAAACCGGAGCUAAUACCGGAUAGGUUCUUCCCCCGCAUGGGGGAAGAUGGAAAGACGGUUUCGGCUGUCACUUACAGAUGGGCCCGCGGCGCAUUAGCUGGUUGGUGGGGUAAUGGCCCACCAAGGCGACGAUGCGUAGCCGACCUGAGAGGGUGAUCGGCCACACUGGGACUGAGACACGGCCCAGACUCCUACGGGAGGCAGCAGUAGGGAAUCUCCCGCAAUGGACGAAAGUCUGACGGAGCAACGCCGCGUGAGCGAAGAAGGCCUUCGGGUCGUAAAGCUCUGUUGUCAGGGAAGAACAAGUGCCAGAGUAACUGCUGGCACCCUGACGGUACCUGACCAGAAAGCCACGGCUAACUACGUGCCAGCCGCCGCAGUAAUAC